CAGAUGGGAGGAAGACGGGGCCGCUGUGUGCCUGCUUCUGUUAGCAUAGCCAGUGUUUCUCACCCAUCACUACUGAAUCAAGUCUUCUGAUCAGCAAGCCAGGACUUCCGGAGUAAUUCUAAAAAGCCAGUGGGUCUUGUCCAACCAGACCCUGUACAGACUAGGAGGUCUGGGAUAUUCUGUGACAAUUCCAGGCUGAAGCAGAAAAGCAGAGGCUACAGCAUGUUUCCCGUCACUGUGGUUCCCUGGAGGCGAAUGCUCACGGCUCCUCCUUAGGGGCCUCCAGCUGACCACAGCGCCCAACGUAGCCUGCACUGAAUGAAAGAUUCACCCAUGGACUCCACAUGUAUUUGCC